AAACGUUUCAAGUCAGUCGCAUUGGCCAGUAAUCAACCUUGCAAUCUUGCGAGGCUUAUUUUCUGGUUGAUGGGUCAGCAUCAAUUUUGACUGUUAGAGAAAGGCUUGAGGAAUGUGGCAUCUUCGGAUGUGUUAUAGCCUCU
rnacentral:rRNA from 1 species